rnacentral:lncRNA from 1 species
UGCCACCGCCACCCCACACAGAGUCAGGGCUGAGCUGCACCUCGGUCUUGGGCUACCUCGCCACAAGGCAUAGCCAUGUCCCUGCACUGAUCACCAUGAUGGCUUAAGGUUAUACCUGGGAAACUUCAGAAGAGAUUACGACACAGUGGGGAAGAGGAGGCCACUCAGAACUGUGCCGACAAGGCCAGCACUUCCAAGUGGAAGGCGGAGGAGUCUGGAAGGCUGGGGAGGAAGGUGCCAGCAGGUGGGAGAUGCCGCUUUCCCCUAGAAGCCCUGCAUGACGCUGCCCGGGGGCUCCUCUCCAGAGCUGCCAAGAAUUCUGGGCACCCAGGCAAAC